CCUACGGGUGGCUGCAGUGGGGAAUAUUGCACAAUGGGCGCAAGCCUGAUGCAGCCAUGCCGCGUGUGUGAAGAAGGCCUUCGGGUUGUAAAGCACUUUCAGCGGGGAGGAAGGCGGUGAGGUUAAUAACCUCAUCGAUUGACGUUACCCGCAGAAGAAGCACCGGCUAACUCCGUGCCAGCAGCCGCGGUAAUACGGAGGGUGCAAGCGUUAAUCGGAAUUACUGGGCGUAAAGCGCACGCAGGCGGUCUGUCAAGUCGGAUGUGAAAUCCCCGGGCUCAACCUGGGAACUGCAUUCGAAACUGGCAGGCUAGAGUCUUGUAGAGGGGGGUAGAAUGCCAGGUGUAGCGGUGAAAUGCGUAGAGAUCUGGAGGAAUACCGGUGGCGAAGGCGGCCCCCUGGACAAAGACUGACGCGCAGGUGCGAAAGCGUGGGGAGCAAACAGGAUUAGAUACCCCGGUAGUC
rnacentral:rRNA from 1 species